CAUCAGUGUCACAACUUUAGUUCUGACUUUUUAAGCAUUUUACAUCUUCACUUGAACAGAAUUCCAUGGYGACCAUGAAACUACUGUUCCUAGUGAUGUGCCUGAUUGGACUUUGUUCCUCCAUUCCUGUGUCUGAGAAACAUGAUCGAGAGGAGCGCUCAGCUAGCGAUGAGAUGUUCAGGGGUUAUGGGCGUGGUGUUGGGGGGUUCUAUCCCUAUCAGCAGCCUCAGCAGCUCUCAGCAGCCUCAGUACCCGUCAUACUUCCCUUACGCCCAGCCUCCCCAAAGUAACUCUGCCCUGUUGGCCCUCCUGCCCUUCCUGUUGGCCAGACUUGCUGCCACUCCAGUCGCAACUCCUGCUGCAGCUCCCGCCCCAGCCCCAGCAGCAGGUGGAAAAUGAGAUGGGCGUCGACAGAAGAGCCGGAAGGACUCCCAUGUCUCCACCUUGUUUACAUCACAUAUGUUGACAUUAGCUGCUGUUCAGAGCUG